GCCUACGGGUGGCAGCAGUGGGGAAUAUUGGACAAUGGGGGGAACCCUGAUCCAGCCAUGCCGCGUGUGUGAAGAAGGCCCUCGGGUUGUAAAGCACUUUCAGUGAGGAAGAACGCCUGGUGGUUAAUACCCAUCAGGAAAGACAUCACUCACAGAAGAAGCACCGGCUAACUCCGUGCCAGCAGCCGCGGUAAUACGGAGGGUGCGAGCGUUAAUCGGAAUUACUGGGCGUAAAGCGCGCGUAGGUGGCUUGAUAAGCCGGUUGUGAAAGCCCCGGGCUCAACCUGGGAACGGCAUCCGGAACUGUCAAGCUAGAGUGCAGGAGAGGAAGGUAGAAUUCCCGGUGUAGCGGUGAAAUGCGUAGAGAUCGGGAGGAAUACCAGUGGCGAAGGCGGCCUUCUGGACUGACACUGACACUGAGGUGCGAAAGCGUGGGUAGCAAACAGGAUUAGAUACCCUAGUAGUC
rnacentral:rRNA from 1 species